GAUGAACGCUGGCGGCGUGCCUAACACAUGCAAGUCGAGCGAUUCUCUUCGGAGAAGAGCGGCGGACGGGUGAGUAACGCGUGGGUAACCUGCCCUGUACACACGGAUAACAUACCGAAAGGUAUGCUAAUACGAGAUAAUAUGCUUUUAUCGCAUGGUAGAAGUAUCAAAGCUCCGGCGGUACAGGAUGGACCCGCGUCUGAUUAGCUAGUUGGUAAGGUAACUGCUUACCAAGGCGACGAUCAGUAGCCGACCUGAGAGGGUGAUCGGCCACAUUGGAACUGAGACACGGUCCAAACUCCUACGGGAGGCAGCAGUGGGGAAUAUUGCACAAUGGGCGAAAGCCUGAUGCAGCAACGCCGCGUGAGCGAUGAAGGCCUUCGGGUCGUAAAGCUCUGUCCUCAAGGAAGAUAAUGACGGUACUUGAGGAGGAAGCCCCGGCUAACUACGUGCCAGCAGCCGCGGUAAGAC
rnacentral:rRNA from 1 species